GGUCGGUUGGUGCAAUGGUAGCAUGUAGACCUCCUAUUACUGUACACCCGGUGAGCCCGGUGUGCCGGCAGUAGGUCUAGUCUAGGGUUGCGGGUUCGAGUCCCGUGCUGACCG